CACAAAAGGAGAAGCCCUCAGUAGAAGAAAAGAAAAUAUUAAUAGCCAUUGAAGGCUCUGGGGGGCUAGCACGGAGGUCAGCAUAGACCUACACUGCCUGGAUACUAGUACUAAUUUUGGUCCUGAACGCAGAGAGCACAAAACCCACCUUUGUUUCUCAGUUUUCUUUGGACCACUCCAGAAUUAACCCUUCAUUUUCUUUCUUCUGGAAGAAUAGACCUGCAAUGUCUGCGGAUGUGAGCAUGAGUCAAGACUGUCACUGGGCAUACUUAACAGGGGAGAAGGACCUCUGCGUUAGGUGGUGAAGGUCCUGGUGACAAGUACUUGAAGAACACAGAAGUAACUCCAUGCCAGUGGUACCCAGGAGACCAGCUAAGAACAGGAGAUGCACAGGCCAUACUGAACAAGAAGGCAAUCCAGCAAGGCCGAUGAGAUAAACUCUUCUAGAAGACUAGAAGGAAGAAAUGUAGAGGUAUCAUUGCAGAGAAAAAACACAGCAAUAAAAGAAACAUGUGUUAACAUGAACAUUGGGGUGUAAGAAUAUGAGAACGGUCUGCAUGGAAAUAUUUUCCAUUGAGAAGCAUGAUCCUGCCUGGUAAGACGCUCUUCAUCCAAAUCCUGUCUGGAUUGCAAAAACUUGUUUGUGUGUGUGUGCACAUCGCACUGCAAAUAUCUGUUAGUGAAAGAAGAGCUGAAGAAGAGCACUUCUUCCUUUACACAUGAAGCAGAAACUGACAUCCCAAGUAAUGCAACACAAUGAACUGCGGUGCGCAGACAGGAGAACAAAUCCAAACCCACUGAGAGUAAAGGACUCUCUUAAAACCUCCUGCGGCCUCUCUAAGGGCACUGCGCACAGUACGUGAGGCCUUGGUUGCAAU